UACAGAGGUCCCGAGCGUUGUUCGGAUUCACUGGGCGUAAAGGGUGCGUAGGUGGUGAGGUAAGUCGGAUGUGAAAUCUCCGAGCUCAACUCGGAAAUGGCAUUGGAAACUACCUUGCUCGAGGGUUGGAGGGGGGACUGGAAUACUUGGUGUAGCGGUGAAAUGCGCAGAUAUCAGGAGGAACACCGGUGGCGAAGGCGGGUCUCUGGGAAGUAACUGACGCUGAGAAGCGAAAGCAUGGGUAGCAAACAGG
rnacentral:rRNA from 1 species